UGGCGGACGGGUGAGUAAUGUCUGGGAAACUGCCCGAUGGAGGGGGAUAACUACUGGAAACGGUAGCUAAUACCGCAUAAUGUCUACGGACCAAAGCGGGGGACCUCCGGGCCUCGCGCCAUCAGAUGAACCCAUAUGGGAUUAGCUAGUAGGUAAGGUAACGGCUUACCUAGGCGACGAUCCCUAGCUGGUCUGAGAGGAUGACCAGCCACACUGGAACUGAGACACGGCCCAG
rnacentral:rRNA from 1 species